UCUCUCUAUCUCUCUUUUUCACUCGCUCACCCGCUCUUCCUCCCUCCCCCUCCCGUUUCGAUGUAUGGAGUUUGUACACGGCAAUUUAAUAAAUGAUCAAAUAUUAUAUUAAUUUAAUGUUUUCAAGCCGGCGCUCGCGUUGCGUGUUUGCGCGGGCGCGCACAAAAUUGAUAUUUUCUUUCUUCUACAAUUUCCACGACAAACAGCCGCCGUAGAAUCCCCGUCAACAACGGCAAACAACAAAUUAAUUCGUUGUUUAAACAGUUGCAGAGGUCGGCUGUUUGUCGCUGGCAAACGCGUUUAACGCCACCGACGACCAAGGAACGAUCCUGCUAAAUUCGAAAGGAGCUUUCUUAAUACUUGAUGAAAACAAA